AUGUUUGUUUUCGUUGUGUCUGCACUUUUAACUUUGCAUUCUCAGGCUUCGCUUCUAGAAUCGAAGGGGCACACCCGCUGCCCAUUUACCACCCUGGAACUCAUUGACUGCAAGAUGGAUCCAUGGUCUCUGGGGAGGCUUGGGCAGGCUUUGUGUCUCAGCAGUCUGCAUGUUCUCGUCCUCGACUACUGCAAAUUUACACAUGAAGAAAUUGAGAGUAUUCUCUCAGGCCUGGAGAACAACCAAAGGCUUCAAAGCCUCAGUCUGCGCUACUGUAGUCUGGGGCCACAGAAUGGAUCGAGGCUGGGCUCCAUCGUAUGCCACAGUGCCAUUCGUGAGCUACACCUCGGUGGCAAUUACUUGCAAUGUUCUGGAGCUCUGGGUCUCCUCAGACCCCUGGCAGAGUAUGCAGAGAUGCAGGGGAAAGACCAACUGGCCACUUCCUCACCAGACACCAGGAACCCCCCUCAACUGCUCCAAGCCAUCCAGAGAGGAAGUUCACCUUUGAACCAGAUUACAGAGUCAUCCAGGGCUGUAACAGUGAAACCUACCUCAGGGAAGAAGAGAAAAAAAGGAAUCAAGAAAAAAAUUAAAGAUUUGAUUGAAACUGGUCCUUGGUUAGUGAAGUUGUAUUUGGCAGAUAAUGGCAUAGAUGGAAAGGGAAAAGAAGGAGAAAAUGACUUGUUGGAAUUCACUCAAAUACUAACAUGCCUGAUCAAAUACUCUGCCCACUUAGAGGAGAUUGACCUUGGAAACAAUGCCCUGGGAGAAAAGGCUGCUGUUGACCUACUUGAAGCACUGAGAGCCAGAAAGACAGGUAAACUGCCAGUUUUAAAAAUUACAGUCACUCCCCAGAUCUCUUCAGACACCUUCAGAUCUAUUUGGAAAAACAGCAAGAAAUCUAGUAUCACCCAUAAAAAGAAGAAAAAGGUAUGCUCUUGGCUAUCUAUGCGAGUAGCAGCCACCAGGGGGCACUGUAUGGAGCCUGGGUACUCCGUUGGGGUAGAUGGUGCCGUGAGCAGCGCAUGAGCUUCCUGAGAGCAUGAGCAUUUGAGUUCGAAGCCACACUCCCCUAAGCCAUCAUUGCACCCUGAUGGAUGAUAACUGUAGGACAAGCAGGAGGAGAACAGCACAGUUCUCUCACAGAUUAGUGCAAACUCUGCCGCCUCUCUCUGAACUUUCCCCACCAACCCCAACACACACACACACACACACACACACAUUCUGGUUCCCCUCAGCCUACUGUGGGUCGGAAGCGGUGAAUUUAUCUAAAUUCUUUAUGAAGCUGUGCUGUGUGGCCUCUUUUUGUUGUUCAGUCAGUAACUUGUGUCUGACUCUGUGACCCCAUGGGCUACAGCACGCCAGGCUUCCCUGUCCUUCACCAUCUCCCAGAAUUUGCUCAGACUCAUGCCCAUUGAGACGAUGACAUCAUCCAACUAUUUCCUCCUUUGACACCCCCUCGCCCUCUGCCUUCAAUCUUUCCCAACAUCAGGGUCUUUUCCAGUGAGUUGGCUCUUCACCUCAGAUGGCCAAAAUAUUGUGGCUUCAGCUUCAACAUCAGUCCUUCCAACAAAUAUUCAGGGUUAUUUCCUUUAGGAUUGAUUGGUUUGAUCACCUUGCUGUCCAAGGGACUCUCAAGAGUCUUCUCUAGCACCACAGUUCAAAAGCACCAAUUCUUCAGUCUUCAGCAUUCUGCCUCUUAGGGUGGGUAAUGAUUUACAUAUACUUCCUUUCUACUGUAUGAAGUUGAACUUCCUUUUUCUUUUUUUCUAAUUAUGAUUUCCUGUUCAUUUCUUCACAGGCUAAAAACUGAAUACGAAUGCCAUGUAUCCAUAUGGAUUCUAUCUAUUUCCAUGGACAACGAGAUGUGCCUGGAAAAAUAUUGCUUAUAACCAAGUAUCACUAUAACCAAGCCCUUUUCAAGUUCUAAAAUUUGAUAAGACUCUUUUAUGAAAGUUCAGAAUAGCAUUAGUCUUAUCAUGCUUAUCAUUUUCUAAAAUGCGGGUUUCACAAACAGGUCUUAGUAAAAAUAAGUGGAAUUCUUCUCUGGGGCUCUUGUGCAUGUGAAGUUUAUAAUUUGAAGGAAGUCAUGAUCUUUAUCUAGAAAAGAAAAAAAUCUUCUUUCAUAAAUAUAUCUAUGGUUGGGAACAACAGGAAUUUGGGAAAUAAUAACCACUUUCUGAAAGACAACAUCUCUAACAAUAGGGAUCUUACCCCAAAUGAGGAAACCUCCGCUUACUGCAACCUGUACCUGCAUUAAAGUUUCAGACAGCUCCAUGGGAAAUGGAAGAGGUGUCAUGGAUCAAUAUAUUGAUGAUAAAUUGGGUUUGUUAAAUUGUACAUGUUGCAGGGAUAAAAAGCGUAGAUUGGGCAAUUAAAAUGAAACCAAAAUUCUCUGUGGAAACCUGCUGCUUUUCAGGUGACCUUGGGCAGGUCGGUUACCCUCACUGUGCCUCAGUUUCUCCUUACAUAAGACACAGAUAAGAAGAGCACAUAUUCAUUUGGUGAGCACUGAAUGAGGGUGACACAUGUCAAGUAUUUUAAGAUAAUACCUGUUUCACUGUAUGUUUUCAAAAAUUAAUAUUAAUGACUGGUAUUAUUGCUGAUGUUAGAAUUGAGUGAUUCCAGUUAUUUCACUUACAACAGCUACACAAAGAAAUAGGAAAAAAAAAAAAGGCUUAAGAUCUCUUCAUUUAGCACUUAGAAACUGCCAUUGAUUCUAUGUAUAAUGUAACAAGUUCUGAUAUGUUCCAGGCAAAAAUCUAAUUGUGGAGGUGAGGAUGGUUAUGGUAAAUUAUGUCCUCUCUUGAGGAUCUUAGCACCUAGGAAGGAAGUCAAGAUCCUCAUACAUAAAAGUAAACAUUAGGGCAUGAGUUGAAAUAGUCAGGGUAAGCAAGCCUAUGGAAUAGUGACAGCAACUUAACAAAUCUCCAGAACUUAUAUAUCCAAUGUGUAAGAUGUGUGAGGCUUCCUGAUAAAUUGUUUCUGCUAAAAAAAAAAAAAUAGAACUUUUUAAAGAUUUGCCACUGACAUCCACUGGAUGGGAGUGUAAAAUCUGUGUGUUCAUUUAGGUGUAUUUUGACAAAAGAGUCGGACACGACUGAGCGACUGAACUGAACUGACCAUGUCUAUCAAAAUGAAAAACAAACAAACAAAUCAUAGCCUUGACUCAGGCACGCAUACAUUUAGGGGUCUUUUGACAAUGUUUAUCAAAGUGAAAAAAAACAUAGCCUUGACUUAGGCAUGCAUACAUAUUUCCUUGCACGUGUCUGGGAGUAUAUCAAUCUAUAGAAAUAUGUAUAUAUAUAUAUAUAUGUAUAGAAGUAUGCAUAUAGAAAUAUCUAAGGAAAUAUGUAUUAAGAUGUUCACAGCAGCACUAUUAAUUAUACACUGGAAACAACUAAAUGUCUCUCAACUGGUUCUCAGAGACAUAAGUCACAGGAAAUGUAUAUAGUGGAAUACUGUGCAGUCAUUAGGAAGAACAACGUGGAUGUGGAAGUGCUUAUGUGGAGAGAUGCGUUAGUCAUACUAUUAAACAGAAAGAGCAGCCUGGAGAAUAGUGAAUGUGAAAACUUCACAUUGAAAUGAACUGGCAUAAUAUGAGUUGGCAAUUUCAUCUCUGGGUUUACAUGUUCAAAAAAAUGGAAAGCAAGAUCACGAAGAGAUAAUUGUACACCUAUGUUCAUAAAGUGUUAGUCAUCAUAAUUAAAUGAUAGAAGCAACCCAUGUAUCCACUGAUGGAUGACUAGAUAAGCAAAAUGUGGUAAACACAUACAAUGGAAUAGUAUUCAGUUUUAAAAAGGAAGGAAAUUCUGACACACGCUACAGCAUGGAUGAGCCUGGAGGACUUUAUGCUGUGUACCCCAGUUACAAAAAGACAAACACUGUAUAAUUCCAAUUAUGUGACGUAUGUAGAUUACUCAAACUCAGAAACAGAAAGGAAACUGGUGGGUGCCAGAGGGACAAGGGCGAAAUGCAGAGUUGUUUAAUGGGCAUGGAAUACAGUUUCAGUUUGGGAAGAUGAAAAAGUUCUAGAGAUUGGUUGAUAACAGUGUGAAUGUACUUAAUGCUUCUGAACUAUCCACACUUAAAAAUGGUUAGGAUGGGGGUUUCCCUGGUGGCUCAAGGGGAAAAGAAUCCACCCGCCAAUGAAAGAGCCAAUGGUUCGAUCCCUGAUCCAGGAAUAUCCCACAUGCCGUGGAGCCACUAAGCCCAUGCACCCCAACUACUGAACCUAUGUUCUAGAGCCCAGGAGUCACGACUACUGAAGCCCUUGCACCCGAGAGUCUGUGCUACACAGCAAGAGAAGCCCCUGCAAUGAGAAGCCCAUGCACUGCAACCAGAAUAGCCCCUGCCUGCAAUGAAGACCCAGCACAGCCAAAAAUAAAUAAAUAAAUUUUAAACCUUUAGGAUGGUAAACUCUAUGUUAUAUAUAUUUUUAAGUUUUAAAAUGAGUUGAUGUGUUACAUGUCUGCUAGUAUAUAUGUAGCAAUUUCUGAAGAGUCUCUUAACAGUACUUGCUUUUUUCCCAUUGGAUACUCAAUUUACUAUUUUAAGGUUUUUAUCAUUUAUGAGCUGUCAAUUAAAAAAAAAAACAACCUUACUAUUGUUUGAUGAACAUCAGUAAUAGCACUUUGGGGUGGUUAUAUGACCUGGUGCCAAAAGAGAGGAAGAAAAACAGUAAGUGCAAUGUGUCAUGAUUUUUCUGGGAGGAAUGAAUAGUGGCAAAGAAUGGUCACUAAGGACAACAGGAUGAGUGAGUUUUUCCUCAGUGUAGAAGCAAUGUAGCUGGAACAGGUAGAGAGAUGUUCUGACCAAUUUCAGACAUGUUAAAAUGUGAGGGUGGAAAAAAAGACAGUCCUCGGUGUGUUUGGAUGCCUGAGCUAACUAAUCUGAUGAGGGUCUCAGUGAGGAGUGCUUAGGAAAUGACACUGGAAAAGUGGAUUGGUGCUAUACUGUCGCAGGAUUUAAGGGACCAACUGGCACAUUUAGAUUUUGCUGUAAUGAUAACACAGAGCCGUGGAACAUUUUGAGCAGGAGAGUGCUGGGUGGGGGGGAAAGGAGUAUAGGAAAAUUGAACAGGCACUUUAGAUUGAAUGCUAGAGUGGGGAGCAGAGAUAGGAAGGAAGUCAGGACACAAUAAUCCAGGGACAGGGAGGUGAGGUUCAGACUCAACACCAACAGGUACCACUCCUUCUUAAUCAUCCUCUGGCCUUUCAUCCAAGGUCCCUCUUUUUCUCUUCCAAACUGCCCAGUUCCCACCAACUGGGGCAUUUUUAUCCUCUUCUGGUUCCAGUCUUUUUUUUUUUUUUAAUUAAUUAUCUAGCAUUUAUAGUCAUUAUAAUCAAGAUUGCUGGGAGAAAUAUCAAUAACCUCAGAUAUGCAGAUGACACCACCCUUAUGGCAGAAAGUGAAGAGGAACUAAAAAGCCUCUUGAUGAAAGUG
rnacentral:lncRNA from 1 species